UGGUCCCCCUGAGUCCAAAGUAAAAGGAGAGGGAAAAACCUGUUGGUGAGAGUGUUGUCGCAGCCCGGUCGAGAGUGGUGGUUCCAGUCCUUCUCUGGAUGUCACAAGUGGUAUCAGAAGUCCCAAGACCCCAAUAUUAUAUAUCCUCAGGUUCAGACAGGAAUGCCCAGUACCCCCCUCAGGGUGGGGAGUUCCACAAUGGGUGUGAGGACAGGAGCAUCCUCCUAUCUCACAGGCCUCUUAACACCC